AUGUCGCCUGAAAAGUUUUGCAUGGAAUAAUGGAAUAGGACUUCGGUUCUAUUUCGUUGGUUUUCGGAUCCGAAGUAAUGAUCAAAAGAGACAGGCGGGGACGUUUGUAUGGCUGCGCUAGAGGUGAAAUUCAUGGACCGUAGCCAGACAAACUAAAGCGAAAGCAUUCGUCAAGCAUGUUUUCAUUGGCCAUGAGCGAAAGUCAGAGGCUCGAAGACGAUCAGAUACCGUCCUAGUUCUGACCAUAAACGAUGCCAACUGACGAUCCGUGGCGGUAGUUUCUAAACCUUCCCCACGGGCAGUCCCCGGGAAACCUUUAAGUCUUUGGGUUCCGGGGGAAGUAUGGUUGCVAAGCUGAAACUUAAAGGAAUUGAGGGAAGGGCACCACCCGGAGUGGAGCCUGCGGCCUUAAUUUGACUCAACACGGGAAAACUCACCCGGGCCGGACACUGUGAGGAUUGACAGAUUGAUAGCUCUUUCUUGAUUUGGUGGUUGGUGGUGCAUGGCCGUUCUUAGUUGGUGGAGCGAUUUGUCUGGUUAAUUCCGAUAACGAACGARACUCCAGCCUGCUAAUUAGUGCAUUUGUCCACUGCACCAGCCGAGCGGCGCAGUGUCAACUGCUCUGGCUCAGUGCAGGAACCGGCGCGUUUGUGCAUCCUGCGUGGUCGCACUGCCUCGUGUGGUGUGGCUGUGUGGGGCUAUGCGCGGCGUGUUAGGCCUGCAUGUUGUGCCUGGGGCGGAUGGCACCACGUUAGCUAGCAGGUGCGGCGCGAAUGCUUACUUCUUAGAGGGACACGCGGGAGAAGCCGCACGAAAUAGAGCAAUAACAGGUCUGUGAUGCCCUUAGAUGUCCGGGGCCGCACGCGCGCUACAAUGGCGGUGUCAACGAGUCAGACCUUCUGGCCUGAAAAGGUUGGGCAAACUGGUCAAUCACCGUCAUGACAGGGAUCGGGGCUUGGAAUUGUUCCCCGUGAACGAGGAAUUCCUAGUAAGUGCAAGUCAUAAGCUUGCGCUGAUUACGUCCCUGCCCUUUGUACACACCGCCCGUCGCUACUACCGAUUGAAUGGUUUAGUAAGGUCCUUGGAUUGGUGCCAUUUAGGUUCCGCCGAAAGGUGCGUAUCUAGCCGGCGCCGAGAAGACGACCAAACUUGAUCAUUUAGAGGAAGUAAAAGUCGUAACAAGGUUUCCGUAGGUGAACCUGCGGAAGGAUCAUUACACGUUC
rnacentral:rRNA from 1 species